UGUCGUAUAAGGCGCACGAUCGUUGCAUCCGGCGACGACGGAGCGCAAUCUCUUGCACACUCGCGAGAUGCACGCAAGUUACUUCUUCUCGUCCUGCGGUGAGCAGAAACAUGUUGGAAGAAAACGUUCGAAGACUUGGAGGUGUUUUGCUGCGAAGAAAAGAACUAUCGACGAACGGAGCAAACGUUGAAACGAGAGUCAUGGGAAUCGAUAUUGUUGCUGCAACUGAACAAGAACACGGCUUCGUGUUUUUAUGAAGAAACAAGCAAUCGAGGUCAUGAUUAACACUUCGUCGGCUUCGAGCCUGUUGUCCACGAACUGCAUUCGAAGUUUUAAAGCGGAAAUCGAAGACGCACGGAAUUCAGAGAAACGACGAAACAGUUAUCUCUAGAAGAAAAUUAUGGAUUACUAAACGGUCGUCAUUGGCGCCCGGAGGAAAUCCCGGACUUCCCUUAAAAUGUUCAAGAAGCUCACUGGAUCGUAUCGAAGACGAGGGAAGGAAACAACGAGAAGGAAAAGGAUAAGAGAAGAAGGAGAGAGAGCGUCGCUACAGGCGUCGGGAUGAAGGUCACACAUCUGAAAAACACCACGCGUCCCGGGAAUGGAAUUCUAAUCUUUGAUAACAGUUUUCCGCGUUUGAAGCAAUGCGUGCCCAAAGCCCCUUAUCAUUGUCCUGUCCGGUGUUGGAUUGUUAGACGACUGGACGGAGAACUGAUAAGGGCCCGAGGGUCACAGAAUCAUCGUGGGAUUGGAUGUGUGUUGCAUAUUUUCGUCCGCUUAAAACGCCGGAAACAACGUGGAAAAAGCUACGUCGGCGUUUGUUCCGCAACGUGAAUCUAUGCGAUAAAGUUGUGAUAAUAAGACAUAACGAGAUUUGUUUUUACAUUCAAAACCUUUACGUUCGGUAAUGUAACAAUAUGUGAAGAUCAUCAUGUGUAAUAAUUAAUAAUAACAAUAAAAGGUCUCUUAUCGAACAAUAUAGGAACUUAAGACACACAGACCGUAAAUAAUUUUUCAAAUUUUGUAUUUUAACGUAUUUGUUAGCUGAUUUUCUCUGAGGAAUGGGGCUCUUUGUAUAUAUUUAGCUGUCUUUACUGUUUGUACAGCGUUCGAUCUCCGACUCUCAUCGUGUGAGUAUGUUGUUUUGUCUGUGUGUGUGUGAUAAAAGUGAUAACUUACAAAGCAACAACAUUUCAGGACAUAAUACAUACCAACUUCAAAAUAUACUUUCAUGUAAGAACUUACACCGAAUUGUGACAACCAUGACUUAAUUAAUUUAUACUGAAGAAGACUCAAGUAGAAUCGAAACGUUUAUUAAUUUAUUAAUUUGUUACCACGACAAUUAUUGUCACGGAGUUAUAUAUAUUGUUUGAAUAAAACAAGUUCCUGUAUUGCUCGAUAAGAGACCUUUUAUUGUUAUUAUUAGUUAUUAUUUAUAUCACGAGCGUUCUUUAUUCUUUAUUUUAUA